rnacentral:lncRNA from 1 species
AUGCUAGCAGGCUCAAACUGCGCAGCCCUCGGCCCCAUCACAGUGGAGAGUGCUGGAAGUGGCUGGGAAAUCCUAGCGGGCCCAGACUGCACAGCCCUUGACCCCCUCCCAGGGGCCAGGGGUGGAAGUGGCCAGGAUCUCCUAGCAGGCCCAGAGUGGGCAGACCUCGACCCCAUCCCAGUGGCCAGGGCUGGAAGUGGCCAGGAUCUCCUAGCAGGCCUAGAGAGCACAGCCCUCGGCCCCCUCCUGGUGGAGAGGAGUGGAAGCGGCGGGGAAAUCCUAGCAGGCCCAGACUUCGUAGGCCUCAGCCCCAUCCCAGUGGCCAGGGCUGGAAUGGGCUGGAAUCUCCUAACGGGCCCAGAUAGCACAGCCCUCGGCCCUGUCCUGGUGGCAAGGGGUGGAAGUGGCCGCGAAAUCCUAGCAGGCCCAGAGUGCACAGCCCUCGACCCUGUCCCAGUGUCAAGGGGUGGAAGUGGCCAGGAAAUCCUAGCAGGCCCUGACUGCGUAGCCAUCGGCCCCAUCCCAGUGGAGAGGGGUGGAAGUGGCUGGGAAAUCCUAGCGUGCCCAGACUGUGCAGCCCUCAGCCCCAUCCCGGUAGAGAGGGUUGGAAGUGGCUGGGAAAUCCUAGCGUGCCCAGACUGUGCAGCCCUCGGCCCCAUCCCGUUGGCCAGGGGUGGAAGUGGCCGGGAUCUCCUAACGGGCACAGACUGCGCAGACCUUGACCCCAUCCCAGUGGCCAGGGCUGGAAGUGGCCAGGAAAUACUAACGGGCCCAGACUGCACAGCCCUCGGACCUCUCCCAGUGGCAAGGGGUGGAAGUGGCUGUGAAAUCCUAGCAGGCCUGGAGUGUGCAGCCCUCGACCCCCUCCUGGUGGCCCGGGGUGGAAGUGGCUGGGAAAUCCCAGCGGGCUCAGACUGUGCAGCUCUCAGCCCCCUCCCGGUGGGGAUUGGUGGAGGUCGAGAUCAAACCCUAGAACGACAUGGAAGACAAAUCUCCUUGUGGUUUUGA